ACAAACAAAAAUCAUAAUUAAACAACACUGUUAUUUAGAAUUUUGCCAUUAUGAUAGCAGCUGAAAGAGUGUUUUGUUUGUUUGAAUGAAUGGAAACUGUUGAAUCCUUCCUCAUAAAGUUUUUUAAUGAGGAAGGGAAAGAGAGACAGAAGCGCGUUCAUCUCCAUUGUUAAGAUUUACUGUACUUUGCAACAACACCUGUUCAAAUAUAUUUUAUUUUGAAAUGUCUUUAUCGUAAUUAUAGUUUUUAAUUAAUUGCUUUUAAACUUAACAAAUAACUUCUGUUUAGGGUUUGUAACUAAACAAAUCAAUACAUUUCAUUUUAAGGCUUUCGCGCAACUUGUUUCCGUCACAACAAGGCAGACAUGCACAGGUUUACUAAGAGCAAAAAUGUAAAAUCAAUAAGAUAACUGAGGAAUUAGUCAUCAGAUGCCAUGUCCGUUAUUUGCAGCAAAAAUCUGCAAAAAUACAGCAAAAAUCUGUAUCUCAAACAGAUUAAUUUAAAUAAGUUAUUUCACCACCUGCGUGACAUCAUUAACCAACGUUUGCAUCCGUAGGCUACUAUGCUAGUUAAGCUGGAGAUCAGGGCUGGAUUUCCCGAUAACGUUGUUUCUUAGCGCGCUACGAAGACUCUAAAGGUAGACCUUAACUGAAUAUAGGCUACCGUUUCCAGGCGUGUUCCCCGAACUGUUCCUUAGGAGGUUGCUUAAGGUAUAUCUUCUUAAUUGCGACGUUAGGUGCUGUCCACGGCGCUGGUGCUGAAUUGGUUGAUAUCGAUGGCUCGAGAAUCGAUAAUUAACUCUAUACAGGGGCUGCUUCACUGCAUUAUGUGAGAAAUACGUGUUCUUUAUAAAAAGAAGCACUUCAGAAGUAGAAAUUGCAUUUAUCGGGACUCAUGGGAUGUUAUAAAUGUAAUCCAAAUUGCAAACUAAAUCUAUAAUGUAAUUUAUCUAUAUUCUGGGGGCGCGGAGCCCCCAUCAGCCUGAGUUUAAGGCCGUUAUUUUUGAACAGUUUUAAUUCCUUUGAGACGCGUCAUGCAGCUGACAGACAUGUAGGUAUCGCGUUUAUAUCGUUUUUUUCAUGUUUAAUUCAAAAUAUUCACCAACCAUUUAACUAUAACUUAAAAACACCGAAUAGUUGUGAUACAUGGCAAGCGCGGAGCGCGCGUCUGGCUCUGGAUCAGCGCUAAAGCACUGUAGAUGUCGCAGAUAAAGAGCAUUUUCUCGCUGAAUAUUUUGGUCACUUGAAAGUUUAUUUUUGUUAUAAAUGUUGUUAUAAAUAAUUGAAUACUUGUUUGGGUAUUGUAUAUUUUAUUUGCAUGAUAGCUAGCAAUAGUGACAUCUAGUGGAGUACAUGACUAGCGUUUGAUAUGUGACUUUUUUUGCUGCGUGAGCAACGGAAAACAUGAGGUGAUGACACGAAUUGAGAGGUGAUCUGAUCUGACACAAAGAUUGAGAAUUUGAUAAGAAGAUGUCUCAUAAUGUCUCCUGGAUCCUUAUUGAAAGGCACACGUUUUUUCACGGUGUUCAUUUGAUGGGUGAUGUCGACUGUCUCUACUCCUAAGAAGAAGACAUUAAAAUUGAAGCAAUCAUAGGCAUCAGUUGAACCGUGUUUUUUUUAGUCACGGAGAAAAAAUUCAGGAGUCGUUAUAGUGAAAAAACGUGUAUUCACAUUCCCUGGAAGAGUGCCAGAUUUCAUCGUGGAAAAAGAAAGAUCGUUGUCAGACUUCGACGUG